CCUACGGGGGGCUGCAGUCAAGAAUCUUCCGCAAUGCGCGAAAGCGUGACGGAGCGACGCCGCGUGCAGGAUUAAGGCCUUCGGGUUGUAAACUGCUUUUCUGUUUGAAGAAUUCGUGACGGUAAAACAGGAAUAAGAGGUUGCUAACUCCGUGCCAGCAGCAGCGGUAAUACGGAGACCUCAAGUGUUAUCCGGAUUCAUUGGGCGUGAAGCGUCCGCAGGUGGUUUGGUAAGUCGAUGGUCAAAUCUUUGGGCUCAACCCAAAGACUGCUGUCGAUACUAUCAGACUAGAGGUUGGGAGAGGUAAGCGGAGCUACCGGUGUAGUCGUAAUAAGCGUUGAUAUCGGUAGGAACACCAAAGGCGAAGGCAGCUUACUAGAACAAACCUGACACUCAUGGACGAAAGCGUGGGUAGCGAAUGGGAUUAGAUACCCCAGUAGUC
rnacentral:rRNA from 1 species